UACGUAGGGUGCAAGCGUUAAUCGGAAUUACUGGGCGUAAAGCGUGCGCAGGCGGUUUUGUAAGUCUGUGGUGAAAGCCCCGGGCUCAACCUGGGAAUUGCGAUGGAGACUGCAAGGCUUGAAUCUGGCAGAGGGGGGUAGAAUUCCACGUGUAGCAGUGAAAUGCGUAGAGAUGUGGAGGAACACCGAUGGCGAAGGCAGCCCCCUGGGUCAAGAUUGACGCUCAUGCACGAAAGCGUGGGGAGCAAACAGG
rnacentral:rRNA from 1 species